GCCAGGCGCAGGGUGGUGUGGGUCUGUAGUCCCAGCUACUCGGGAGGCUGAGGUGGGAGGAUUGCUUGAGCCCAGGAGUUCUGGGCUGUAGUGCAGGAGUUCUGGGCUGUAGUGCACUGUGCCAACCAGGUGUCCGCACUAAGUUCGGCAUCAAUAUGGUGACCUCCUGGGAGGGGACCACCAGGUUGCCUAAAGAGGGGUGAACUGGCCCAGGCCGGAAAUGGAGCAGGUCAAAACUCCCGUGCUGAACAAUAGUAGGAUCGCUUCUAUGAAUAGUCACUGCAUUCCAGCCUGACAAUAUAGUGAGACCACAUCCCUA
ensembl:misc_RNA Metazoa_SRP Metazoan signal recognition particle RNA